AUUGCUUUGAACAUAAUGAGAACUUGAUCCAAGAAUUUUUUCUCCAUAAGCCCCUAAUCCACCUCUAAUGAACCCAGAGCUCGCACCAGAGAAUGCAUUUCCAAAAGGGUUCGCUUGUGUAUUAGCAGACGAUCCUCCAGGCUGUGCUCCAAGGUUAUCAUACAUUUCUUACUGAAAUAGUGCUGUACAAAUUUAAAUAAGUGUGCCCUGUUG
rnacentral:misc_RNA from 1 species